UACGUAGGGUGCAAGCGUUGUUCGGAAUUACUGGGCGUAAAGGGCUCGUAGGCGGCCAACUAAGUCAGACGUGAAAUCCCCAGGCUCAACCUGGGAACUGCGUCUGAUACUGGAUGGCUUGAAUCCGGGAGAGGGAUGCAGAAUUCCAGGUGUAGCGGUGAAAUGCGUAGAUAUCUGGAGGAAUACCGGUGGCGAAGGCGGCAUCCUGGACCGGCAUUGACGCUGAGGAGCGAAAGCUAGGGGAGCAAACGGG
rnacentral:rRNA from 1 species